UCCGGUUUGGCACCGGCGGUCUCCCUAGAGUCCCCGGCAUGACCCGCUGGCAACUAGGAACAGGGGUUGCGCUCGUUGCGCCACUUAAGGCAACACCUCACGGCACGAGCUGACGACAGCCAUGCAGCACCUGUGCAGGCUCCCGAAGGAGCACCGGCUUUCACCGGCUUCACCCUGCAUGUCAAGCCCAGGUAAGGUGGGGAUGACGUAGCUAAGCCUU
rnacentral:misc_RNA from 1 species